ACUACUGCUGCCAGCUAGCAGGGAUACAGGGAGAAGGAAAGAAGGGGAGAAAAGAGAAGAGGAAAAAGAAGAGAAAAAAAAGAAGUGAAGGAGGUUAAAAAUUUUAGGUGAAGUGAACAAGAAAUGCAAAUGUUUAAUUAGAGGUUAGGUUCGCAUAUUGUGCCCUAGGCACAAAAAUCCUCGCCUGCUCCAACAGGAAUUAAACACAAACUUCACGAUGGUUCGUUGCAUCCAUUUUAUGUUGAAAUGAUUCC
rnacentral:lncRNA from 1 species